rnacentral:pre_miRNA from 13 species
CCAUAGUGCAUUGCAUUUGCAGUGCAAAAUGUAGUUCAUUACAUUUGCAGUGUAAAGUGG